GGAUGGGUGGCCGAGCGGUUUAAGGCAGCGGUCUUGAAAACCGCCAUACGUGAAAUGCGUAUCGUGGGUUCGAAUCCCACCCCAUCCGCCA
rnacentral:tRNA from 1 species